rnacentral:rRNA from 1 species
AGUCGAGCGAGGUCCAUCCAGUGGUAACACUGGUGAAGACCUAGCGGCGAACGGGUGAGUAACACGUGAGAAACCUGCCCCGAAGACUGGGAUAACUCUCCGAAAGGAGAGCUAAUACCAGAUGCCCUCACCGGGCCGCAUGACUUGGUGAGGAAAUGGAUUCCGCUUCGGGAGGGUCUCGCGGCCUAUCAGCUUGUUGGUGAGGUAACGGCUCACCAAGGCUUCGACGGGUAGCUGGUCUGAGAGGAUGAUCAGCCACACUGGGACUGAGACACGGCCCAGACUCCUACGGGAGGCAGCAGUGGGGAAUCUUGCGCAAUGGGCGAAAGCCUGACGCAGCAACGCCGCGUGGGGGAUGAAGGCUCUCGGGUUGUAAACCCCUUUCAGCAGGGAAGAUUAUGACGGUACCUGCAGAAGAAGCCCCGGCCAACUACGUGCCAGCAGCCGCGGUAAUACGUAGGGGGCAAGCGUUGUCCGGAUUUAUUGGGCGUAAAGAGCUUGUAGGCGGCUUGGUAAGUCGAGUGUGAAAACUCCAGGCUCAACCUGGAGACGCCAUUCGAUACUGCCAUGGCUAGAGUCCGGUAGAGGAGCACGGAAUUCCUGGUGUAGCGGUGAAAUGCGCAGAUAUCAGGAGGAACACCAGCAGCGAAGGCGGUGCUCUGGGCCGGUACUGACGCUGAGAAGCGAAAGCGUGGGGAGCGAACAGGAUUAGAUACCCUGGUAGUCCACGCCGUAAACGUUGGGCACUAGGUGUGGGUCCCUAUCGACGGGAUCUGUGCCGUAGCUAACGCAUUAAGUG